rnacentral:miRNA from 1 species
AAGGGUGUUAAAUGAAGACUUAA